rnacentral:misc_RNA from 1 species
AACAAUUGCCAGAGUUGUCUAUGAGCAAAUAUCUUCUCAAUUUGAAGGUAGCAGCUUUCUUGCAAAUGUUAGAGAAGUUCAGGAGAAACAUGGUUUAGUUCCUUUACAAAAACAGCUUCUUACUGAAAUUUUAAUGGAUUGGAACAUAGCUAUUUGGGAUGCUCAUAGUGGAGUUGAUGAGAUCAGAAAUAGGUUACGUCGGAAAAAAGUUCUUAUAAUUCUAGAUGAUGUCAAUCGAUUGGAC